AACGCGAAGAACCUUACCUACCCUUGACAUGCCAGGAAGCUUGCCGAGAGGUGAGUGUGCCCGAAAGGGAGCCUGGACACAGGUGCUGCAUGGCUGUCGUCAGCUCGUGUCGUGAGAUGUUGGGUUAAGUCCCGCAACGAGCGCAACCCUUGUCACUAGUUGCUACGCAAGGGCACUCUAGUGAGACUGCCGGUGACAAACCGGAGGAAGGUGGGGAUGACGUCAAGUCCUCAUGGCCCUUAUGGGUAGGGCUUCACACGUCAUACAAUGGCGCAUACAGAGGGCUGCCAACCCGCGAGGGGGAGCCAAUCCCAGAAAGUGCGUCGUAGUCCGGAUUGCAGUCUGCAACUCGACUGCAUGAAGUCGGAAUCGCUAGUAAUCGCGGAUCAGCAAUGUCGCGGUGAAUACGUUCCCGGGCUUGUA
rnacentral:rRNA from 1 species